rnacentral:lncRNA from 1 species
AAAAAACUUAUUUGAAAUAAAAUUAAAAUAAAAGGGAUAAUUUACAAAUUCUUGAACUUAAAUUGAGGACUAAUGCGCAAGGCGCGCGAAUUCACAAGGACCACAGUUGAAAAUAUCCCUGAUCCCUAAACGCUGCGACAUAUUGCGGACCAAAAUGAAAACGCGCGCAAAUUAUAGGACCGAAUUAAAAAACAAAGUAAAGCAGAUAAGGUGCAAUGGAAUGCUCGCGCGAGGGGAAGGAUCUAACGUGCAAAUUCCCCAUUUUGAACAAAAGGGCGAGGAUCCGGCCUGCCCAUCGGGUCGACAUGCCAAUCUUUAUGGCUGAAAUGGCGUUGUUUUUUAUUCUGGUGCUAAAGGACCCUAUUCCCAUUUAUUUUCUUUCCGAAAACAUAGAUGAAAAAAAAAGGAAUCCCUGCUCUGUUAGGGUUUGUUCCAUUACGCAGCCACUAAACCUCCAUCAACUUGAUGACCAAUGGCGCGGAUGAUGGCCAGAUCUUGACAACGGAGGCCAUAACCAUGGAGAUCUGGUAACCUCGCUCCCUCUUUUCCCUUUUUUUUUUAAAAAAAAACUUGAAUUUUAUUCUGUUCUUUCAAAAAAAUGAAACAAACUUUGAAGAUUUAAACAAAAUUUUAACACCGUUCGACCCUCGCCCACAUCCAUGCAUUUCUGAGACGUUUGGGCUUUCAUCAGCGUCAAUUCGGGUCCCCUUCAUGUGUUCAUGCUAAAAUUGCAAAGCCCAUCAAAAGAAACGAAAAAACAGAUUUGGAAAUCACCUUUCAAUAACUUUUGGCUUGAUUUUUUUAAUAUCCAGUGUGCGUAACCCCUUACAAAAAUCAAAUCUCUUGGCUUUAUAGCCGAAAAGAAAAAUAAAAAAUACAUUUUUUUCUAUUUUUUGUAUUUGCUGUUGUGUUUGUCUCUUCUUGCAGGUACGUGGUAUGCGUGGCGCAUGUACGGGGGCUGUAUGCUAGCAUACAAAGGCGUAGGCGUGGCUGUGGCGCCAAGAGACCGUACGGCGUUGUGGGCUGGGGGCUGCGGCGCUCCUUGCUGCUAUGGUUUCCCUUUUUGAAACCAAAAUUUGGGUGGUUUGGGCCAUUGGGCCAUUUCUGUAUUUGGGCCUUUGGGUUCAUUGGGUUAGAAUUAUUAGGCUAUUCGGGUUAGGUUCAAUUUAGGCCCGAAAAUCUGUAAAUGGACCUUUAAUUUGGACUGUUAUAAUUUGGUUUGGUUUAUUAUUGUUUUGUGUCUUGGUUUUGAUGUGGACCCGGGCAAAUUGACCUGUUUACAAUAUCAAUCUAAAAAAGUGUAUAUAUUGACAUUCAUUGAGCAGUUGAAAAUGUUGAAAGUUCAAAAAUAUAUUCUUUAUAUCCAUAUUAAAAAGUUAAAAAGAAAAUGUUGAAGUUAGGAAAAGACAUAUGUAGGUGUGUGUAUACAUAUGUUAGCUCAAGAAUAUUAGUAAAGCACAUCACAUUGCAAGAAUUUAGUUGGAAAAGAUAUUGUGACAAUAACAUGUUUGACAAUAUUGCAUUUUUCCUUCAGUAAUUUAUUUUAGUAUAAUAAUUUAUUUAGCCUUUUAAUUUUAUAAAAAAAUUAAUUUAGUAUUCCAUUUAAUUUUUUUUACUUUUUUAAUGCCUUUAAAAUUGUGUUUUUUUAUCAAAUCACCUCAAAAAUGUAUAAAAAAGUUAAUAUUACAAAAUAAGUUCCAACUUUAAAAUAGUUAUACAAAUUCGAAUAUUACAAAAAUUAUUCAUCUUUUCUAAUGAUGUCAUUUUUUUAGGGUUCUUCCUUGCCACUAUCGAUAUUUCGACUUUCACAUUAGACAUUUUAAUAUUAUUUAUUAAUAUAUAUUUAUGGAGAAAUCAUUUCCCAAAAUAUAAUCUUUGGGGAAGAUUAAUACAUCGACACCCAUAGGGUAAGUUCAUGAUGAUGUCAAAAUCACCAUGCUAAUCCAUGGCAUGCAUGAUAAGAAGAAAGAACUACAAAACACAUGCAAAGUAUUGAUACUCACAGGUGUUGAGUUUAGGGUUAGGAUGUUUGACCUAGGUAUUUAUUUGCCUAUUAACCCAACCAACCCAAUUAAAUACAGUGGAAGUCAACUCCUAUAGAUGUAGAUUUUCGAUGUGGACUUCCACCUUAUAAAAACCAUUUGUUCCUCCCUUCUCCCCACCCAAAAUCUUCUCAAAUUUUCCAUUUUUCUCAAGCACUUCAACUCUCAAUUUUUUUUCUUAUUUCUUGGCCAAGGGGGAUAGCGGAACAUUGACAACUGCAUUAUAAAUAUGGCAAAAUCUCUAACUCAAUUUUUUUUUACAAUUUUUAAUUUUUUUUAGAAAUGUUUAUAAUUUCUAAAAUUUAAUAUUAUUAUUUUAUGAAUUUUUUACAAUCAUUAGAUCGAGUUCUUUAGAUCUAACACAAUUUACAUUUCCAAUCAUUGCAUUGAGGAAUGCUUGAAGAUUUCCGAUUUAUAUAUGGUAUUUACAAAGGCUAAGUUUAAAAUCCUUCCUCAAUUGGCUCCCACCUUGGUAGAAAGAUGGAGGCUGAAAACAUUUAUAUUCCAUUUUUCAUGGAGAGAAGUGAUCAUUAUGCUCGAAGAUGUCGCUUUAAAAACUACUCUAAUUGAUAGGGAGGCAAUAGUCACAACUAAUGCAAUCAAUUUGGUGUAUGAGUGUGGCCGGUUGUUAGGUUGCGCACCACCAAGAGAGAAACCAGAGAAAGAUUUAAAUGGUGCUAGGUGAAGUGCAUAUAGUUGGAGAACCUUGUCAAACUAGCCCCUUCACCACAUAUAAAUAUGGAUAAGAUGAAUCAAUAUGCCAAAGCUUGGAAGCUCUAGAUGGUACUAUUGGGAUUUUUGUGCAGUUAUUUCAUUAUUAUGCUUGUAAUUUUUCAAACAGAUUGGUCAAAUAAAAUUUCAUAGUUAAAAUUAUUAUUUUCUUAUAUUUGCCUUUAAUAGUUUUUGCUUGAAAAGAAAAAUGAAUAAGAAAAUACUGGAUCAUUGGUUACCUAAGGUUUAAUUAAUACUAAGUUGCAUCAAAAGAAUGUAUUACAAUGCAGGAUUACAACUUAUGUUAAUAGGUAAUCUAUAACAGCCCAGUUUUAAUCAAAUUGGAACAGUGGUUUUGGGACCACAAAUUCGAGGUUAAAAUAUUUAUUUCAUUAUUAUUUUUAGGUUUACAGCAUGAUAGUAUGAUUGUGUGAAAAUUUUGUUAAGAAAUUUAACCGAUUGAGUGCUUAAUUUUUGAAAAAAGACUAAAUAGCAUAAAGCGUGAAAAUUGUGUUUUAUUAGCUAAAGGUGUUAAAUAGCUAUAGAACUUAAAGUGGAGAUCCUUAUUGAGUAACUAGACCACUAUUUGAGUUAGUGGAUGUGCAUGGCUUGGCAUUUUUGAAAAUUUUAAAGUUAGGUAAGGGUAAAAAGGUAAUUAAGUAAAUAAAGACUAAUUUAAUAAAUGAAAUUAUAUCAUCUUCCUCAUUUUAACCAUGCUAGCCGAUUCUUCACCAUUGUAGAAGAGAAAAUUUUUCUUCAAGCUACUUCCUUACAUGUAAGUGAAAAACUAUCACAUUUUUAAUGAUUUUUAUGUUUUCAAGAUUGUUGUAGCUUAAGCUAGCUAAUGAAGGGACUAAUUUGCAAUUUGGUUGAAAGCCUAGGGUUUUUCCAUGAAAGUGUGUUAUUUUUUGUGAGGUUUAAUGGAAGAAAAUGAAACCUUGUUGUGUAAUAAACACUUUUUGUUAAGUGAUUUUUAGUAAAAUUGUCAGAUAAGGGUUAAAUUGUGAAAUGUGAUAAAUUAUGUGGUAAUUGUAUGAAAUAAUGAAAUUUAUGGGCUACUAUGAGUCUAAAUAACAUUUGGCUAUGAUAGGGUGAGAUUGAAUUACACGAAUUUGCAUUUUUAUGAGAUAAGGACUAAAUUGUAAAGAAAUUAAAAUAUUAGGGCAAAAUGGUAAAUUUUCCAUAAUGUGUAUUUUGGAUUAAAUUGAAUAGAGUGAUAGCUAAAUAAGUUAAUUUUGAUUACAUUUAGAUUAAGAAAGGUGAAAUAUGGAUUUAAAUCGGAGAAAGAACAAAGUUUCAAAUUAAUCGACUUAAUUCUCCGUUUUAGCAUCCAAGGUAAGUUCGUAUGUUAAUAAACAUUAUUAUAAUUGUGUUUUAAAUGAUUUUUUUAUUGAAUUGAUUGUGGAUAUGAACUUACAGAAAUAUUCGACGAAGAUUCGACAGAUGAGAAAUCCCGGUUGAACCUUAAGAAUAGAUUAGGAUACGAAUGACAUGUCAUUAGGAGUUACAUUGAUUUGGCUUUGGGCCAUGAUAUUAGCACUUCGGGUGUGAGUUACAUUGAUUUGGCUUCGGGCCAUGAUAUUACCACUUCGGGUACGAGUUACAUUGAUUUGGCUCUGGGCCAUUAUAUUAGCACUUUGAGUGCGAGACUCAUUAAAAUGGCUUCGGGCCAUGAUAUGGGCACUUAGGGUGCAAGACUUUUGAGUAUCCGAUUUCUAUUCCAAAUGGUUCAACUGGUAUAUAGAAGAUGUGAAAUGGUGAGAAAUAGAUACGUAUCGAUACAGGUAUGUACAGAAGACCAUACGAGCAUUGAAACUAAGAAAGUUGUAAACUUAUGAGUAGUUAUGUGAUUGAAUUUAUAUUAAUCUUGUGAUUAAUGUGUUGUUGAAUAUUAUGUUCAUAUUGUUUGAAUGGUAAAUGAUUGCUGAGAUUUGCUUAUUAUUCUCAUACGAGCUUACUAAGCUUUAUAGCUUAUAUUGUUUAUUUUUCUAUGUUUAAUAGUGAUAAUAAAGCUAGCUCAGAUUCGGGAAUCGUCGGAGACUUCAUCACACUAUCUAAUUAUCACUUGGUACUUUUGAAAUUAAGUUGUAGGUCAUAUGGCAUGUAUAGGGACUUUGGUCAUUUUGGUACAUGUGUGGCUAAUGAAUUUAGUCAUUAGAGAUGACUAGUAAAUAUUAAGAGCUUGGUUUUGUAUAUAGCCAUGUAAGUUAACUUGUUUUGGUUAUUUUGGUUGUAUAUAUAUAUAAAUGGCAUUUGUCUUGUGUUGCUUAUUGCUAUGCAAAUGCUUGUGGGAAAUGGUUGAUAAUUGAGAAGAUAUAUGUUUGUGAGUUAGGCUAAUAAUGCAUGUUUGAAAGUGAUCAUAUUGAUGAUUUGAGAUUGUGAGUUUUGGUAUGAAAUUGGAUAGCAUAUUAUGGAAAUUGUAUAGCUUGUGUCUGAUGGUAUGGAAUUAGUAUGAAUUAUGCUUGGUUGAGGUUGGUUUGAAUGCCUAUUGAUACUAUGUUGAGUGCCUUUUUACUUGGUUAGGUUGAUGCAAAUUUGGGUGACAAGAUGGCUUGGUAAAUAGCCUACUUAUGUCCAUACAGCCAAAGACAAGGGCGUGUGUCUCAAACGUGUGUGACACACAGUGGUGGGCAUGGUCAUGUGUCCCCUGGUACUCAAGUAGAAAUCAAGUCAGUAGCUCCACACAGCCUAGCACAAGAGCGUGUGGUUGGCCGUGUGGUGUAAGGCCAUUUCGAGAGGCAUACGGACUGACAUACAGACGUGUGGUCUGGUCGUGUGAGCCAAGUCAAAGAGUUACACGGGAUCGGACAUGGGUCGAGACACGGCCAUGUGAUUCUAUUUCGAACGUCCACACGGCGUAGGACACGGGCGUGUUUUUUGGCCGUGAGUCAUAUGGUCAGGGCACACAGGCAUGUGACCCCUACAUAUUAAUUUUUUUUUAAGUUUUGUUAAAGUUUCUUGAGUUAUCGAUUUAGUCCCGAACCACUUCUAAUGCAUGUUUUGGUUAAAGAUUUAUUAUUCAAAUUGUAUGAAUGUUUGUGUUGUAAAUUUGGUAAUGCCUCGUAACCCUAUUUUGAUGUAGGAUACAAAUUAAGGGUAUUAUAUUUAUUGGUAUCAGAGCUACGGUUUAGUUGAUUCUCGAACUAACGUAGCGUAUGUGAAAGUCUAGCUAUACAUGCCAUAUGCAACCUGUGAUAGGGUGAUAUCUCCUGACAGUUUCAGAUCGUGUUUUCAUAUAGUAAAUAGAUCCCAAUCGAGCUAUAGCUGAUAAUGUUGAAAGUAAUACGCCAGCUCCAGCACAUGGGGCAGCGCAGUCUGAGUCGAGACCUGUAAUUGAGAGUCAAAGAGGAGAGGCUAAAAAAGCCUUUUUCCAAAUGAUGAACGAAUGGUUCACUGAGUUUGUUCGGAUGAAUCUGGCUGCUUAGUAACCUCCACCUCCACCUGUUCCCGAAACGAUUCCAACAGUUCAUCAAGGUUUAGAAUUUUUGCGCUUGAGUAAGCCUCCUGUAGAUAGAAUCCAAAAAUACGGGGCUGAAGAAUUCAGAGCUACUGUUGAUGAUGAUCCUUAGAGAGCCAAGUUUUGGCUUGAGAAUACGAUCAGAAUACUUGAUAAACUUUCUUGCAUACCAACUGAAUGUGUGAAAUGUGCGGUAUCACUUUUGAGAGACACUGCAUGUAAUACCUUGAUAUUCGUGGUACCAAGAGAAAGAGUUACUUGGGAAUUCUUUCAAACUGAGUUCAGAAAGAAAUACGUAAGUGAGCGGUUUAUUGAUCAAAAGCGAAAAGAAUUUUUAGAGCUGAAACAGGGUCGAAUGUCUGUGACUGAAUAUGAGCGAUAAUUUGUGAGACUCAGUAGGUAUGUUCGGGAGUGUGUUUCUACUGGAGAAAUAAUGUGUAAGCGGUUCAUAGAUAGGUUGAAUGAAGACAUAAAACUUUUAAUCGAAAUUCUGGAAUUGAAAGAAUUUGUUGUCUUGGUGGAUAGAGCCUGAGAGCCAGUGUAAGACCAUAUCUGGGACAUGGCAUCUGCAUUGAGACAAGAGCUAUGUAAGACAUGUUUGGGACAUGCAUCGGCCUCGAGAUGUAAGCCAGUGUAAGACAUGCUGGGACAUGCAUCGGCUACAAGAUGUGUCUGUGUAAGACCAUGUUUGGGACAUGGCAUCGGCACGUAUAGAGGUGUCAGUGUAAGACCAUGUCUACGACAUGGCAUCGACACGGAUAUGUGAGAGCUAGUGUAAGAUCAUGUCUGGGACAUGGCAUCGACUUGAUGGAUGAGCCUGUGUAAAACUAUGUCUGGGAAAUUAAUUAGUAUAAUAUUGUUUUAUAACAUAAUAUUCAGGUCAGGUCGAGUCGAGCUCUAGCCAAAAAACUCUUGCCCAAGGCCCGAUCCAUAUAGAAAACAGGCCUUAAAUCUUACCCAAACCCAUUUUUCAGACCUCGUAUUUUGUCCAAACCCUCCCAUUUUUUGGGCGAGUCUUCGAGUCUGGACAAGUGACCCAACUCAUGAAUAGGUUUAAUUUCAAGCCAUGUGUGUCGAAUUAUAUAUAUUGCAUUUAUUAGGGCUCAAUCUACUUUACAUGAUAAAUCCCUAAAUAAAUAUAAACUCGAUAACCAAUGAUAUUAGGGUUUAAUUUCAAAUAAAUUAGAAAUUAUUUAAAACUCAACUCCCUUCAGUGUCUUAGGUAAAGUAUCCAUUACACAAUUAUCACUUAGAUUCUAUUAUGACACUGAAAACUUUAUAAAAUAAAUUUUAAAUUCUAACUCGACACUCAUGAAUUUUGAAAUAUCCUGAAAAAAUUAAAAAAAAACAACUUUCUCAUAAACAUAUAUAAAUAAAUAAAAUUAAAAUAUCAAAUACAAAAGUAAAAAGAAACCCAUAAUCAGCAAGAUAAAAUAUAUAAAAUGUAUGCUUUUGUUUAUACUAAUUUAUAAAGAUAAAUAACUUUUAAUGUUAGUAGUUAAGAUAUAUGCAUCCAAAUUUGAUAUUGUGGAGUUUAAGGAGCACAUUUUAUUUUGCGAAUCUGCUCGUCUGGAAAGUUUGAAUGGUACAUUACACGAACCAAAAUUUAAUUAAAAUUGACAUAAUUAAAAACAACAUGAUUAUGAUUAAUUUACUUGGGAUCCAACUAAAAUUUAAAAUUUUUUGAGGGUGUACGGGCCCAAAUUUUCCCCGGCCUAACAACCCAAAAAAUAAUGAUAAUAUAAUUACAAAUCCAAACCCAUUACAUAUUAAACCAAAGAACCUAAAAUUUGAAGGCCCAAGUGGCCCAGAAUGUUUAAACAUUUGGAAACCCUAACCCUUGCCCCAACUUUCAGCCGCCCUUCCUCCUACCCUCCCACGUGCCGUCUGACAUCUUUCAACCUCCCAUGUCAGCCCCCGUCCCAUCGCCCCUGCACCACCUGCUCCACCGCUCAACCACCUGCAAAACACAAGGAAACACGCAAAGCAGAAAAGAAGCAGCGGAUAACACAAAACAGUAGCAAAACAUUGUAUUUCAUUCGGCUAUAAAGCCAACAAAAAACGAAUGUAACAUGAGAUUUUUCAAUAUUCAAAAGCAGACUUGAGAUCAGUACAAAAAAAAAGAUUGAGCAAUCAAAAACAAAAUACAAGCAAAAGGUUGAGAUCGAUCUCCUGUUUCGUUUUCUACUGUUUUCUAGUUUCUGUUAUUUCAUUUCUAUUUAUUAUUAUUAUUUCUUAUUUUCCUUUACAAAUCUAUUAAAUAAAAUAAAUAAAAAAAAUAAGAAGGAAGAGAAGAAAGCCUCACCGGAAACGCCCGCGGCUUCAUCGUUGGAGACUUUUCCUCCGUCGUCGGGGCUGAAAAGGGGGUGGGGAUCUUUCUUUCAUUUCUUUUCGACUAAAAAGGCUAGGAUCUCGAACUUCUUUUAGAACGUGGCAAAAUGGCCCAUUCUUGUGCAUCGCCGGCCACCGAAUACGGUGGUGGUGCAGCAAUUAGACGAUGACCCCCUUCAGCCGGAAACAAGAGGAGAGGAAGAGAAAGAUGGCUCCCUGUUUUGUUUUUUUAAACUCUAGGGUUAAAAUGAAAUAAAACAAAAAAAUUGGCCCUUUUAUACAUUUACAAAACGACACCGUUUUGGUUAGGGGCCUAGGUGCCUAAACGGCACCGUUUUGAAUACCCGCGCGCCUGACCCGGUUUGAAGGAGUGACCCGUGUGUUUUCGAAGCCCAAAUGGGUUAUUUGCGAUUAUGGUCCCUCCUUCUUUCCUGCGCCAUUUGAUUUAGUCCCGCUUUGCAUUUUCCUUUUUAAAUUUCGCCCUAUUAUUUUAUUUAAUUUCGAUUCGAUCCUUAUUUGUUAUUUUUAUUAUAAUCUAGGUUCUAAAUUAUCUCAAAUUUCGAUUUAGCCCUUUAUUCAUUUAAUUUCAAUUUUUAUAGAAUGUUAUAUUUUAUUUUGUUUAUUCUAUAUUCAUUCACUUAUUUAUUUCUUUAUAUGUUUUUUUUUAAUUUGCAUUGUUAUUCAUUCUGUCAUUCGCAUGUUGCACUAUUGUAAUUAUUAUUAUUAUUACAUGUUUAUCUAUUUGUCUAGUUGUUAUCAUGUCUUUAUUUUUAUACAUAUUUAAAAUUAAAUUGCUUACAUUUUGUUUUUACAUGCUUUACAUAUCUAUUUAUUGAUAUUAUUAUUAUUAUUAUUGUUAUAUUUAUACUUAUAUUUAUUUUAUUUUAAUGCCAUUUUUAUUAUUAUUUCCAUUAUUGUUAUUAUUAUAUAUAUACAUAUCCUUUUAUUACUGUUUUUUUAUAUACACGUAUAUUUUAAAUAUUAUUACUAUUAUUAUUAUGGUUUAACAAAUUAUUAUUACUAACUUCUAUUAUCGUUAUUGUCAUUGUAUUAUUACUAUUAUACUAUUAUUAUAUUUUUUACCAUUACUCUUUAAAUACUAUAUUAUUUCUACUCCUCACUUACAUCAUAUAUUCUUCAUUUAUAUAUAUAUGUAUAUUUUUUAUAUCAUUCCGAACUUUAAAAUAUUUAUUACGUCUAUUAUUACCAUCAAUAUUAUUAUUACUAUUACUAACAUUUUUUAUUAUUUUACGUAAUAUUUAUUUACAACUAGUUUUUUUAAUAUUAUUAGCUUAUUUAUCAUUGUCUUAGCUUAUCUGUUUAUUUAUUUAUUUUAUCUCUGUUUUUAUCGUUAUCAGUCACAUUUGUGUUUAUGCUUAUUUUGUUAUGGCUAUCAAUUUUUUUUUUUGUUAUGCAUUCUUUAUCAUCUCGUUUCAUUAUGAAUUUAGGUUUUAUCCAACCCAAUAUUAAUUCUUCAAUAAAGGUAAUAUUUCGUAUUUGGAAAUUCGAGAAAAUCGUGCCCUAACUUACUGGGUUUCGAUUUUUCUCAUUUAACCUAAAUAACGGAAUAUUCUUUUAAAAAAUCACAAUAUGGUUUUUGAAUAAGAAAUACUUAUUCUCGGAGAUAGAGGUGUUGUGCCCUAACUUAUCGGGUAUGACAUUUUGUCACAUCGAAAUAAGAAUUUGUUUUAAAUAAAGGCAAUAUUCGGUGUUUGAGAAUUCGAGAAGACGUGCCCUAACUUACUGGGUUUCGAUUUCUCUCUUUUACUCUAAAUAAUCGAAUACCCUUCUAAUAAGUUAAAAUACGAAAAUUUUAUAUAAAAGGCAAGCUCGCUCUCGAAAAUUCAAGAUGUCGUGUCCUAACUUACUGGAUGUGACAUUUUAUGUUUUGAGACGAGAAGGUCUUCAACAUUUGAGCAUUUUUUUUGCAAAGACGGAUCGUAUUUCAAAGUUCUUUCAAGUUUUCUAAUCUUCGAUACUAAGAUACUAAUUAAUCAACUAGGUACCAAUUUUGGGCGUAUCGAGGGUGCUAAUCCUUCCUCGUGCGUAACUGACUCCCGAACCUGUUUUCUUGAUUUGCGUGGACCAAAAUCGUUGUUUAAAUAAAUCAAAUCAUUUAUUAAAAACAACCACUUUUACGAGGUGACCCGAUCACACCUCAUCAAAAAGGAUUGGUGGCGACUCCUCUAUUCGUUUUUGUUUUCAAAAUUUAAGUCGAUCCCCUUUUUUUCAAAAAAUGGUUACGACAGCUUGGCGACUCUACUGGGGACCCAAAUAAGAGAGUCAAGCCAUAAGUUGAUUAACUUUUGUCUUUUUGUCGAAAAUUAAAAAUUUGAUUUUGAUAUACGAUCCUUUCAUUUCAUUUCACCCGUUUUUCUUGCGGUUUUCAUCAUUUUAUUCUUAUUUUCUUUAAUCGUUUCGAGUUUUUAUGCAUAUAUCCUCGCAUAUUGUAUUGCAUGACCGUUGUGGUCACAUCCGUUUAAGUGGGAGUGAGAAACUACUCAUUCGUGAGGUUUUCACCUCCGUGUAGGAUAGUGGAUCGCUUUCGGGAUACAUCCGUACCUAUGUCUUUAUGAGAUUUUCAUCUCCGUGCAGCCAUAGGGAAAUGUAUUUCCCUGAACUGAACUCGGUCUGUAUGAGCUUAUAAUGGGCGAAGAUCAAGGAAUCUGUUGGUUCAGGUACCUUUACUCUAGAACCGAGCCACAUGUAGAGAGACCUAGGAGCCCACCCUAGGUAGAGCCACUCCGAACCCCUAGUGGUCACCCGAAUUGCUUUAUUUGUUAUUUAUUUAUCCUGCAUUAACGUGUUUUGUUUUUGUUUUGUUUAUAAUUGCAUUGCAUUACAUCAUCAUAGGAAGGAGGUGUUGAUUCAUAUUUGAUUGCUAAAUAGAACAGUUUGUCAUAAAAUAACAAAUUUUUUGAUAAAGUGGAUUAUAAUACGGUUGUCUACAUAUGGUCCAAGUAAACACAAUGAAAGAAGGUUGAUAGUCCAUGAAGAAAUACAAAACUUUGCUUCAUUGCCUGAGGAUGCAAGCCGACAAAGAUUGUUCGAGAGCCGUCAUGUCUUAAAGAAGCUAACAAGUAUCGUGGGGAUAAGUGAGCAACGAGUCGCAGCCUGGAUCAAACAAAAGGAGUUAAUGGAGACAUCUUUUAGAAAAUUCGCAAGACUUGACCAUAAGAUCCGGAUAUGAAGAGGAAGAAAGGUGUCUUCACUUGGAAUAUGAGAGAAAGGCCGUAUAUGUAAUCCGUUUUAUGUAAAGGAAUUUGUUUUCUAGAAAAGUUGUUCUAAUGAAAUUGAAUUCAGAAUCAAUGCAUUCCUUUCUUUUGCAUUCAUUUCAUGCAUUUGCAUUGCAUUGCAUUAUUUGCAUUAGACUUUUCCUAAAAGAACCCUAAUUAGGUGAAAUUAUUUCAGUUAGCCUGGGAACCAAAAAAGGUCAAACGACUAGGCAUCUUUACGGUACACGGAAAAGGAUAAAAGAUAUGGAUCAAAGAUUGGAAAGACUUGAAAAACUUCAAAAAGAAAUGCAAGACCAAUUACAACUGCAAAUGCAAGAGCAACUGGCGAAGAUCCAACAAGAUAUAAGGGACCAAAUGCUAGAGGCCCAAAGGAAUACGAUGAAUCAAUUGUCCCAAUUACUGACUAAGGGGCUAGGAAAAUGAAACAACUCCAUGAUCAAUACUGGGGAGGACAAUGAGGAACCUUUAUACCCUCUGGGUUUCACCCCGAUAAAUGAUCAGACAUGUCCGCAAGAUGUACCUAUUGCUAUUAGAACACAACAACAUCAGGUCGGUACCUCGGCACCCAUGAACUACCCGACGGGCUCAGGUUCCAAUCUAAGGAACAGUCCAAUCAAUCAUGAAGUUCCUGAUUUAGACGAAAUGGAAGGAAUAGAAAAAGUAAAGGUUGAACUGGCAAGACAACUCGAAGAUCGAUACAAGUGGUUGGAAGAAAAACUUAGAGUGAUGGAGAAUGCUGAUUACCAUCGCGGGGUCGAUGCCAAGGAUCUGAGUUUGGUCCCUGAUCUAGUACUCCCGCCAAAAUUUAAGACUCCAGAGUCUGAAAAGUACAAUGGGACUAGUUGUCCUGAAGCUCACAUCACAAUGUUCUGUCGAAGGAUGACAGGAUAUGUUAAUAAUGACCAAUUAUUAAUUCAUUGCUUCCAAGACAGUCUGAUUGGGUCAGCAACUAAAUGGUACAAUAAAUUAAGCCGUGCUAGAAUCAAUUCAUGGAAAGACUUAGUACGGGCUUUCAUGAAGCCGUAUGACCACGUGACUGACAUGGUGCCCGACAGAAUUACACUACAGAAUAUGGAAAAGAAGCAAAGUGAGAGCUUCAGGUAAUAUGCCCAAAGAUGGAGAGAGGUAGCGACGCAAGUCCAGCCGACUCUUCUGGAAAAGGAGACCAUGAUGCUUUUCAUCAAUACUCUGAAAGCCCCGUUCAUUACCCAUAUGUUGGGAAGCACUACCCUAAGCUUCUCAAACAUAGUAAUGUCCGGCGAGAUGAUUGAAAAUGCAAUCAGGAGCGGGAAGAUAGAUGUAAGAGAAAGCGUUAAAAGGUCAACCUAGAGAAACAAUGAAAAUGAAGUGAACAUUGUGAGCAUGCCUUCCAAAUUGCUCAACAUAGGCCAACCGAGGACUGUAACCACUAGCUAUCAAGGCCCUUCGAGGUAGGAAUCUAACUCAAGGUCGAAUAUAAAAAGGCUCCGGUUUACACCCAUCCCAAUGUCAUAUAAGAAGUUGUAUCAAAAUCUCUUUGAUGUGCAUGUUGUGUCUCCGUCUUACUCGGAACCUGUACAACCUCCGUUCCUAAAAUGGUAUAAUGAGAAUGCUCAAUGCGAGUACCAUGCAGGAAUAACGGGGCACUCAAUCGAAAACUGCACUACAUUUAAAAAAUUGGUCAAAAAGUUUAUUGAAAUGGGAGUUGUGAAGUUUGACAAUUCCUCAGAACCAAAUCGCUCUGACAAUGAAGUAAAUAUGAUUUGAAAGUGGGGGCAAGAGAGUUGCAAUACCUUGAACAAGUCAAAUGCCUGGAAGGAAUAUCGGGGAAUCUAAAUGACUCAUCCGAAGAAGGAAUCGGGGAAUAAAAGUUUUCAAACCCUUGCAUUACUUGGAAGUGUUUUGAACAAUGGGAUUGUGGAAGAGAUCCCUUUAUUUUUAGAGUUAAUCUAGAGUAAUAUUCAAAACACGCUUGUUGCUUUAAGCCUAGAAGCAAUUAGACCCCUUUUGUGAAAUAGGCUUGUGUCCUAAGUCUUUAUUUCAAUAAAAUGCAUCUUUUUGAGCAAAUAUUCUUUGAUUUCAUAUUGUACAAAUAAUAGUUCUUAGAUUUAUUUGUUCUUUGGACUUUCUUUCAAAUAUUCAUGUAUACUUCAUCCAUGAUCAUACCAUACAAAUAAACAUCCUUAGAAUCAUUUAUUCUUUGUCAUCUGCCUUCAAUAAGUCCCCAGAUAUCAAUGACAUGAGCAACGUUACUACUGACCCAGAAUCUCCUUUCAAACGAGAUAUGAAUCUUGAGGGAUCUCAGGACUUGGAAGAUAACAGAGGCUAUAACAUAUCUCCUCAUGUGUUAAGGAUGGUAGAGUAAGAUGAAAACAGAUCCUACCUUACAAAAGUCAGUGGACAGUAAGCCUAAGACAAGAGAAAGAGGCAAAACAUUGGAGCCUGCAUCACUACAAAGACAAAGUGAGACAUCAUUGAAUUGUUCCAAGAAUUCAAAGAUGUUUUCACAUGAUCGCAUUAAGAUAUGCCAAGGCUACUAAGGCCUAUGGAUGCUAAAAAGGGUUCAUAUGAGUGUUAGAAGGACACAUGUUUAUGGUCUUACAUUAGCCAGACUAAUCGUAAGGUUCGGGUACUGCUGAUCUACUAUGGAAGGGGAUUGUAUCAGUCAAACCAUGAAAGCCAAACGGAGGAAGACAAGACUUUUAUGCCUCCUCAAUUUCUUCACAAAUUUUCUAUAUGUGGGGCACAGAUAUUAUGGGGGCUGAUCUCGUCAAAAGCUUUUAACUGAUACUGAUUCAUCUUUGGGGUCGUCGAUUACUUUGUGAAAAGGGUGAAAGUCAUUUCAUAUGCCAAUAUUACUAAGUCGACAGUCAUCAAAUUCCAAAAAAAAAAGAGGAAAAAAUGUGCCAACAAAGAAUGCCAGAAAAGAUAAUGUCUAACACGACUGUACAAUAUCAAAAGUUUGCAGUCUGUGCAAAGAUUAGGUGCUAUAUUGUAGUGCGGCAAAGGCAAAAAAAAAGGAUAAUGGGGAAGAUGACCGAGACUUGUAAAGAUUGGCAUAAGAAGUCAUCAUUUACCCUCUAUCCUCAUCAAACGUUGGCCAAGACCUUCGCCAGGGCAGCAUAUUUCAUUAGUCUAUGGGAUAAAAAUGGUUUUUGUAGAAGAGAUUCAUUGUCUUUGAGUGUUGACUGAGUUAAAUAUUGGAUAAGGAAAAAUAGAUCCAAUCUCGAUAUGAUCUGUUGAAUUUGAAGAAGAGAGGCUGAGGGUUAUCCGUCAUGGUCAGAUGUACCAAAAGCGAAUGAUGCGAGCUUACAACAAAAAGGUUCAUCCCAGAGAAUUCCACGAGAGAGACUUGGUAUUGAAAAAGAUUCUGCCCAUGCAAAAAGAUUUCAAAGGAAAAUGGAUGCCUAAUUGGGAAGGACCUUAUGUAGUAAAGAAGACCUUUUCUGGAGGAGCAUUGAUAUUGGCCGAAAUGGAUGGCAAGACUUUACCCAAUCCUGUGAAUUCAGAUUCGGUAAAGAAAUAAUUCUCCUAAAAGAAAAAGAAAAAAAGGGGAGAGGCCAAGGUGAAAACUCGCAAAGGGCACCUUGAGACCAAAGGGGAUUUGAGUUGAAAACCCGAAAAGGGCGGCUCAAAUUUGGAUCAAAGUGGGGCAUACAACAGUCUUACUAUGCCUGAAUUAACAAUGAAGGAGUAUGCUACAUCUUGGGGCAUCGACAAAGUACUCCGGAUCCCCUAAACACAUAUUGAGAUCAGAAGGGUCCUCAAGAAGUUGGUACAGAGAAGCUCAAGCUGCGAUAUCUAGGGCGCCUAGUUUUUCAUUCUACCCAUUUUGAAUUUGCUAUAUUUGAUUAACUUAUUCAUUUUAAGUUAAUUUCCUUCUUAUUGCAUUUGCAAUCUUUAAUUAAUUUAUUUAUUUUGAGCUAUGCUCCCAAUCAAUUUCCUUCUUGUCCAUUGUUUUGAUCAUUUUCGAGCAUUUUGCAUUGAAAUAACGAUUAAUGGACCAAUAAUACUUUCAUAAAAGAAGUUUUACAUAUUACACUGGAAGUUUCUAAAUAAUACAAGAACCUGAAACAGGACUAUUGUUCAGAACUCACCAAGCCUAAGGGUUAGAAAUAUUUGAGCCUAAAUUAAAAUUAUCUCAGUAGGUUUUCUGUCAAAGAUAUUGGUUGAACCAAAAGACAAGACAUUUUGUCUGUGAUACAAUCUCAACAAAUAACGAGCAAUGUCAACCUAAGUGUAAAAAAGGGUCACUCUCGGGAAAAGAAAAAUGAUACCCUGCAUUCAUGCAAAUAUCAUGCAUAUACAUCUGGUCAUUACACCCAGGGAAUAGUGUAACAGAUUAAUCGAUUGAAGAUGAUACAAAUCCUACACCUUUGAGUUGCAGCAGGAUGGAUGGAAGAAACCAAAUGUUAUUCCUCUGAAAUUGCAGUAGGAGGCACAAACUUUAUGUCCCAGAAGGUACAGUGGAAGGGACUCUGAAAUUACAGCGGGGCAAGCUUGCUGAGCAAAAUGUGAUUGUUUCUUUGACUUUUCUGUCAAGAAUACCCGCCGAACAAGAUGACAGCGUAAUACAUCAGUGAUAAUGUCCUGAUGAACAACGAACGAUGAUACCUUAAGCCUUUUUUUUUUUUUAAAAAAAAGGAGCUCAUGACAUUUCUACAUUCAUAUAAUAACACAUCUAGUUAAGAGCAUUUGAUUCAUUUCGAUCAUAGCAUCCUAAUUAUUUGACAUAAGCAUCACAUUUAGUUAGGAGCAUUUGAUUCAUUUCAAUCAUCGCAUCCUAAUUAUUUGGCAUAAGCAUAGAUACAUGAAACUGAUUUUACAGAUCAUGUUCCUCAGAGGUUGAUGGGCCUUAAACCCCUAAGCAGUAGGGUAACAGGCUGAAUUUACAGAUCUUAACCCCCUAAGCAGUAGGGAAACAGAUCGGGCUUGAUGAGCUUUAAGCCUCUAAGCAGUAGGGUAACAAGCUGAAUUUACAAAUCUUAUCUCCCUAAGUAGUAGUGGAGUAGAUCGAAGACUGUGAACCUUAACCUCCUAAGCAGUAGGGUAACAGGCCGAUUUACAGAUCUUAUCUCCCUAAGCAGUAGUGGAGUAGAUCGAAGACGGUGAGCCUUAACCCUCUAAACAGUAGGGUAACAGGCUGAAUUUCCAGAUUUAACCCCCUAAGUAGUAAGGAAACAGAUCGAAGAUGAAGGACCUUAACCCCUUAAACAGUAGGGUAACAGGUUGAAUUCCCAGAUCUUAACCCCCUAAGCAGUAGGGAAACAGAUCAAAGGUGACAAGCCUUAACCCCCUAGGCAGUAGGGUAACAGGCUGAAGAUAGACAGUUCUUAACCCCCUAAGUAGUAGGGAAACAGAUCAAAAGUAAUGGUUUUAAACCCCUAAGCAGUAAGGAAACAGAUCGAAGGUGAAGGGCCUUAAACCCCUAAGCAGUAGGGUAACAGGCUAAAUUUACAGAUCUUAACACCCUAAGCAGUAGGGAAACAGAUCGAAGGCGAUGGGCCUUAAACCCCUAAGCAGUAGGGUAACAAGCUGAAUUUACAGAUCUUAUCACCCUAAGUAGUAGGGAAACAGAUCGAAGUUAUGAAUCCAUUCUCCCUAAAAUGGCACUAGAGAGGCUCGAAACCACUAUUCGUAUCUCCUUGAAGUUUCAACGGAUCUCUUCUCCUUGAAAUGGCGUUGGAGUGGCUCGAAGCCACAACAGAUCUCCUUGAAGUUUUAGCAGAGAAGAUUGAAGUCACAAGUCUUAUCUCCCUGAAGUUGCAGUGGAGUAGACUGAAAAUAGCGAAUCUUAUUUCCCUGAAGUUGCAGUGGAAUAGAUUAAAGCUAUAAAUAAAUAGAUCUUAUCUCUCUGUAGUUACAGUAGAGCAGAUCAAAAUAAACCUUAUCUCCUUGAAGUUGCAGUAGAGCAGGUUGAAGUCACUAGUCUUAUCUCUCUGAAAUUGCAGUGGAGCAGACUGAAGAUAGCAAAUCUUAUUUCCCUGAAGUUGCAGUGGAAUAGAUUGAAGCUAAAUUACAGAUCUUAUCUCUCUGAAGUUGUAGUGGAGCAGAUCAAAACAAAUCUUAUCCCCUGAAGUGCAGUGGAGCACAUUGAAGAUACUUGAAGAAAAGAAACGCUAAGAGAGGUCGAGACUCGGCAGGUCUCGGCAAAUUUGACCCUUUUAUGGUCUUUGCUCUAUUCCCGUUACACGAAAAUGAACAAAGAGAGGCAGUUGUACGGGCCCAAAUUUUCCCGGGGCCCAACAACCCAAAAAAUAAUGAUAAUAUAAUUACAAAUCCAAACCCAUUACAUAUUAAACCAAAGAACCUAAAAUUUGAAGGCCCAAGUGGCCCAGAAUGUUUAAACAUUUGGAAACCCUAACCCUUGCCCCAACUUUCAGCCGCCGUUCCUCCUACCCUCCCACGUGCCGUCUGACAUCUUUCAACCUCCCAUGUCAUCCCCCGUCCCAUCGCCCCUGCACCACUUGCUCCACCGCUCAACCACCUGCAAAACACAAAGAAACACGCAAAGUAGAAAAGAAGCAGCGGAUAACACAAACAAUAGCAAAACAUUGUAUUUCAUUCGGUUAUAAAGCCAACAAAAAACGAAUGUAACAGGAGAUUUUUCAAUAUUCAAAAACAGACUUGAGAUCAGUACAAAAAAAAGAUUGAGCAAUCAAAAACAAAAUACAAGCAAAAGGUUGAGAUCGAUCUCUUGUUUCGUUUUCUACCGUAUUCUAGUUUCUGUUAUUUCAUUUCUAUUUAUUAUUAUUAUUUCUCAUUUUCCUUUACAAAUCUAUUAAACAAAAUAAAUAAAUAAAUAAAAGAAAAAGGAAGAGAAGAAGGCCUCACCGAAAACGCCUGCAGCUUCAUCGUCGGAGAUUUUUCCUCCGUUGUCGGGGCUGAAAAGGGGGUGGGGAUCCUUUCUUUCAUUUCUUUUCAACUAAAAAGGCUAGGCUCUCGAACUUCUUUUGGAAUGUGGCAAAACGGCCCAUUCUUGUGCAUCGCCGGCCAUCGAAUACGGUGGUGGCACAGCGGUUAGACGAUGACCCCCUUCGGCCGGACACAAGAGGAGAGGAAGAGAAAGAUGGCUCCCUGUUUUGUUUUUUUAAACUCUAGGGUUAAAAUGAAAUAAAACAAAAAAUUUGGCCCUUUUAUACAUUUACAAAACGACACCGUUUUGGUUAGGGGGUCUAGUUGCCUAAACGGCACCGUUUUGAAUACCCGCGCGCCUGACCCAGUUUGAAGGAGUGACCCGUGUGUUUUCGAAGCCCAAAUGGGCUAUUUGCGAUUAUGGUCCCUCCUUUUUUCCUGCGCCAUUUGAUUUAGUCCCGCUUUGCAUUUUCCUUUUUAAAUUUCGCCCUAUUAUUUUAUUUAAUUUCGAUUCGAUCCUUAUUUGUUAUUUUUAUUAUAAUCUAGGUUCUAAAUUAUCUCAAAUUUCGAUUUAGCCCUUUAUUCAUUUAAUUUCAAUUUUUAUAGAAUGUUAUAUUUUAUUUUGUUUAUUCUAUAUUCAUUCACUUAUUUAUUUCUUUAUAUGUUUUUUUUUAAUUUGCAUUGUUAUUCAUUCUGUCAUUCGCAUGUUGCACUAUUGUAAUUAUUAUUAUUAUUACAUGUUUAUCUAUUUGUCUAGUUGUUAUCAUGUCUUUAUUUUUAUACAUAUUUAGAAUUAAAUUGCUUACAUUUUGUUUUUACAUGCUUUACAUAUCUAUUUAUUGAUAUUAUUAUUAUUAUUAUUGUUAUAUUUAUACUUAUAUUUAUUUUAUUUUAAUGCCAUUUUUAUUAUUAUUUCCAUUAUUGUUAUUAUUAUAUAUAUACAUAUCCUUUUAUUACUGUUUUUUUAUAUACACGUAUAUUUUAAAUAUUAUUACUAUUAUUAUUAUGGUUUAACAAAUUAUUAUUACUAACUUCUAUUAUCGUUAUUGUCAUUGUAUUAUUACUAUUAUACUAUUAUUAUAUUUUUUACCAUUACUCUUUAAAUACUAUAUUAUUUCUACUCCUCACUUACAUCAUAUAUUCUUCAUUUAUAUAUAUAUGUAUAUUUUUUAUAUCAUUCCGAACUUUAAAAUAUUUAUUACGUCUAUUAUUACCAUCAAUAUUAUUAUUACUAUUACUAACAUUUUUUAUUAUUUUACGUAAUAUUUAUUUACAACUAGUUUUUUUUAAUAUUAUUAGCUUAUUUAUCAUUGUCUUAGCUUAUCUGUUUAUUUAUUUAUUUUAUCUCUGUUUUUAUCAUUAUCAGUCACAUUUGUGUUUAUGUUUAUUUUGUUAUGACUAUCAAUUUUUUUUUGUUAUGCAUUCUUUAUCAUCUCGUUUCAUUAUGAAUUUAGGUUUUAUCCAACCCAAUAUUAAUUCUUCAAUAAAGGUAAUAUUUCGUAUUUGGAAAUUCGAGAAAAUCGUGCCCUAACUUACUGGGUUUCGAUUUUUCUCAUUUAACCUAAAUAACGGAAUAUUCUUUUAAAAAAUCACAAUAUGGUUUUUGAAUAAGAAAUACUUAUUCUCGGAGAUAGAGGUGUUGUGCCCUAACUUACCGGGUAUGACAUUUUGUCACCUCGAAAUAAGAAUUUGUUUUAAAUAAAGGCAAUAUUCAGUGUUUGAGAAUUCGAGAAGACGUGCCCUAACUUACUAGGUUUCGAUUUCUCUCGUUUACUCUAAAUAACCGAAUACCCUUCUAAUAAGUUAAAAUACGCAAAUUUUAUAUAAAAGGCAAGCUCGCUCUCGAAAAUUCAAGAUGUCGUGUCCUAACUUACUGGAUGUGACAUUUUAUGUUUUGAGACGAGAAGGUCUUCAACAUUUGAGCAUUUUUUUUACAAAGACGGAUCGUAUUUCAAAGUUCUUUCAAGUUUUUUAAUCUUCGACACUAAGACACUAAUUAAUCAACUAGGUACCAAUUUUGGGCGUAUCGAGGGUGCUAAUCCUUCCUCGUGCGUAACCGACUCCUGAACCUGUUUUCUUGAUUUGUGUGGACCAAAAUCGUUGUUUAAAUAAAUCAAAUCAUUUAUUAAAAACAACCACUUUUACGAGGUGACCCGAUCACACCUCAUCAAAAAUGAUUGGUGGCGACUCCUCUAUUCGUUUUCGUUUUUAAAAUUUAAGUCGAUCCUUUUUUUUCAAAAAAUGAUUACGACGGAGGGUUUUAAUGAAAAUUUUUAAAAUUUUACAAAAAUUUAAUGAAUUUUUUCAAAAACUUGGAGGUUAAUUAAAAUUAAAAGUAUAAUUAAAAUGUUGGGUGGAGGCGAGGCCCCUUAGGUCUCAAAAAUCAUCUGCCUCUACUAGAAUUUAAAUUUACUAUUUGCCAAUUGCCAUUGUCUUGUUGCCUUUUAACACCAGAUAUUUGCAGAACUUGAUGCUUGCUUUGAAUUAGGAUUUUUUUUUUUAAAUUAAUUGGAAAAGGUUUGCAAUUUGGAGGUUGAGAUAUUUUUUUUUCUCUUCAAGUGUAAAGCUUAAAAGAUGUUGUGUGAAGUUUAUAGAAUAAAACUGAACAAAUAUAAGAUUUUUGUCAAACAAAAUAUAAGUUAUAAACAAUAAAUAAAUAAAAGAAUCAAAUUGGAUCUAAGAGGUGGGUUGUGUCUUAUUUGAGGGUUAAUCCAUGUUUAAAAUUACAAAUAUAAUCUGGCAUCUUCAAGUUUAUAAAUUUAAUUUGGGGAUGGUUAAUAUAAAUUUUUUCUCAUGAAUUUUGCAAUUAGGUUUAGGUAUAAUGACUGAUUUAGUCCUCUAAUUUUAUAUUAAAAAAAUUAUUUUAACUAUUCAUUUAAUCUUUUAUCUCAUUUACUCUUUGAACUUGCUUUAUUUGUUAAAUCAUCAUAAAAAAGAAUGAAAAAAAUUAAUGUUUGUUAAUUUUAUUGAUAUGGCAUUUACAUCGUAGUCCACCUGCAUGUCAUGUUACCAAUUAAUUAAAUUAAAAAUAUAUUUUUAUAAUUUUUAAUAAAUUUAAUAUUUUUUAUUUUUUUAUUUUUUAAAAAUUAAUUAUUUGUUGAUUUGACAAUUCACGUGGCAUCAACAAAAUUCACAAAUGUUAAUUUUUUCGUCUAGUUUGAGGUGAUUUAACAAAUAAUAUAAAUUUAAGGACUAAAAGAGACGAAAAAUUAAAUAGUUUGGUACCUGUACUUUUUUUUUGUCCAUUUUGAUAUCUAAACUUGACAAUUAAGUCAAAUUUGAUCGUGAAUUUAAAAAAAAAUGAAAAUAUUUAGAUGAUAUGAUAUAAUUUUAAAAUGCUACAUGAUGAGAUUUUUAUAUUUUUUACACUUUAGGAGUUAAAAUAAUUUAGGUGUAGCAAAGUUAAUAAAAGAAUAUAGAUACCCUAUGUAUAUCUAAUUAUGAAAUUCAAAGGCAGAAAUUGCAUUAACCCAUUUAAUUUGGUCCCUGAUGUCAGCAGCUUUAUGAAUUUAUUACAGUGAUUUCUACUUUUAUAAGUACAUCAUUCCACGAAUGCAUUUCCGUGGAUUCCUAUUUGGGUUUUCUUCAACUUGUCAAUAUUUCCGUUUCAUGGGUGGAGUGUUGUAUUUUUAUUUAUUAUUCCCAAUCAAAUAUCAUUUUUCAUUAUCGAUUAAGUUUUAUUUUAAUUGGUAAUAAUAUUAUUAUUAUUCGUCGCAAUAAUUUGGAAGGCGUAAAUUUAAAGGUACAUAAACAUAUAAUAUUAUGUACUUUACGGUUAAGAAAUUAUGAGUAUGUUUAAACAUUAUAUCAAAAAAUAUUAUUUUUCAUUGUUUAUAAAUUUUAAAAAUUAUUUUAUAUUCAUAUUAAGACAUAUCAAGUAUCAACCAAGUUCUAAAGUCUUGAUUAGGUCCCAAUUUAAACAAAGUUUAAGAAUAGAGAUAGCAAAGGAGUAGGGCAAAGGUGGUUGCCUAAUCCACCACCUCUCCAUUAUUAGUACACUCUUAUUUUUAUCAUUUGUCUCCACCUAUUAUGGAUAUAUAAUUUUAAAAAUUAUUAUCACCUCUAAAGAUAUUAGAUACAUUCAUUUGCGCCACACCUUACCCUACCUUAGUUUGAUAUUUGCUCAUUAUUUAUAAAAUUUUCAAUUUGCUUCAUUGGAGGUGGAGCAAGCAAUUAGUAUAACUAAUUCAUACCUAAUGUCCAAUAAAAAAUAUGGUAUACCUUACCUAGCAUUCACUUUUCAAAAAAAAAAAAUUAAAAUCAAUUGCAUGGUUUGAGUUUUAUUAUCCCUACUUAUAAAAAAAAUGAAAAAGUUUAAUAUAAUAUUUAGUACUUGAACUUGACACUUUUUCCUAGUUAGGUACCUAAGUUGUUUUUAUCCAAUUUGGUACAUGAUCCAGACACUUUUUCUUAAUUUGGUACCUAAGCUUUUUUUGUCUAAUUUGAUACCUAAACUUGUCAAAUCUUAUACAAAUUAUUCCAAAAUCCUAACAAUGUUAUUUUUUAUAAGGUGACAAAAAUAAUUAAUGUAUGGCCGACAUGUAGUAGAUGACAUGAUAUUUCUUUUUGUAUUUUAAAUGUUCAAUUACUUUUACUUUUGUUUUAACAUAAAGAUUUUUUUUUUUGGAUGUUUGAGACUGUUAUUUUCUUCUUCAAUAUCCAUUCAUUAAGCAUAGCUCAAAGCACAAUUUUUGAACAUGGAUUUCCUUUAAUAUUGAUGAUAUUUUUUCUGGAAUUUAGGACUUUGUGAAAACUAGGUCAUGCUUUAAGCAUGCGUCCCUCUUGAAUCAUUUUUGUCAUUAAUAGUAAAAAGAGUUUUAGCCCAAAUGAAAAGUAAAAUUUCAGUCAUUAAAAAGAGUUUAAUGAAACAGAGAAAACUACAAAUAAAUGCAAAUCGUUUCAGUCAUUAAAUUCCAUAUCAUCUACCAUAUGUUGGUUGUAUAUCAAUUACUUUUAUCCCCUUGUAAAAAAAUAACAUCAUUAGUGUUCUGGAGUAGUUUGUAUAACAUUUGACAAGUAUAGGUACCAAAUUGGACUAAAAAAAUGUGAAGUAGCAUUUUAAAAAAAGAAAAAGAAAAAGAAAGAGCACCAAAUUAACAAAAUUGUUAAGUUUAAGAACCAAAUGUUAUAUUAAGCCAAAUGAAAAAGAAUAUAAUGCAUUGAAUUGAGGGUUAAUAUAUAUAGAGGUACCUGAAUUUGUCAACUUAUACCCACUUGGUACCUAAGGGUUUUUUUUUUUUAACCUAAUUGAUACUUAAACUUGAAAACCGUAAACCAAAUUGGUACUUUUUAUUGAUACUUGACUAACACAAUUAAAUUUUGGACUAACAACUAAUAGAAUAUUAACAUGUGUCAAAAUUUUAAAAGAAUUAUUUUUGAAAAUUCGUAAAUUAUAAAUUUUUAUAUUUUUAUUUUUCAUGCAUAAUGAACCUAGAUAAAAAUAUAGUUUUAAAAACAACAAUAUAAAUUUUUCAUGAUUGUCCGUUUAUUCUGAAUGUUUUUUAGUCGGUUUUUUUUUAUAAUUUUAAAAACAAUAAUAUAUAUAUUUUUUAAAAAUACACUACUAUAUUUUAUAAUUUUUUUCUGUUUUUAUUUUUUAUAUAUAUAUUUUAGAAGUUUUCUUGAAUUUUAGGUUUUAAUUUUAAGUGUACAAUGAAUUUAGACAAAUGAUUAUCUAAAUACAAAUUAAUCAGACAACUUGUCCAACUUCAUCUUGAACAUGUACUUCUCUAGUGCUUUUAUAUUUUUUUUAUAAUUUUAAAAAUAAUAAUAUAAAAUAUUUUUAUUAAAUUCUAUGUUUUAAAAUAAAUUCCAGUUUUAUUAAUUAAAGUUUUAAAUUUAUUUUAAAAUCAACAAUUUAUUUUAAAUUUAUUACUUAAGAAAGAAAAAAAUAUUUUAAAACUAUUUAUAGUCAUUACUUUUUUAAAAUCUAGAAUAAAAAUUAAAAUUAUUUUAAAAAAAUUAUUACUUUAAGUAAUAAAAUUUAAAUUUAUUUUAAAAUCCGGAAUUUAUUAAAAAUAUUUUAUAUUAUUAUUUUUUGAAAUUAUAUAAAAAUGCAUAAAAUUACUAGAGAAAUAUAUGUUUAAAAUGAAUCUAAACAUAUGGUUGUCCAGAUUUGUUAGUAUCUAGGCAACCAUUUACUUAGAUUCAUUGUGCACUAAAAAUAAAAAAUAAUAAUAUCCUAAAAUUCAAUUAAAAAUAAAAAAUAUAAAGAAGAAAAUUUUAUAAAAUAAGGAGUUUAUUUUUCAAAAAAAAUUAUAUUAUUAUUUUUGAAAUUAUAAAAAAUAUAAAAUUACUAAAAAAACAUUAAGAGUGAAUUUGGAGAAAUGGUUAUCCAUGUUUAAAUGAAUCAAACAAUCAUUUAUUCAGAUUUAUUAUGUAUCUAAAAUAUAAAAAAAAUUAAUUUCCUAAUUCUUAAUCUUCAAAAUAAAAUAUUUUUAAAUUAUUUUUCCAUGUGUCAAUAUUGUUGUUUACCAAUACAAAAUUUAACCAUAUUAAUUAGGUACCAAUAAAAUGUACCAACUUAACUUACAAUCUCCAAUUUUAUAUAACAGUUAAAUCUAAAAAAAAUUAAAUAUCAAAUAAAUACAAAUUAUCAAAUUCAAAUAUAUUUGUAUAUAUUUACACUCAAAGUAUGAUCAACUACUGAGCAUGCAGAGACAUGGAAAAACUAUGAAAUUUAAUAAAAUUAAUUAAUUAAUCAAUGAUCAAUGGUGAUCUAAACUUAAUUUAAAAUUUUAAACAUUUUAAAAUAAAUUAUAUUAGUAGUGACUUAAUUAUAAUUUUCUUUUAUUUUAAUUAUUUAACUAUGAAAAAUUAUAAAAUAAUUAAUUAUUAGUUUUUUUUUAUCACUCAACUAUGAAAAAUUAUAAAAUUGUCACUCAACUAUUUAAAAUUGCAUCCAAUGUUUCCAAUUGUGUAUCAUGUUAUCCCAAGACCAAUUUCCAUUACAAAAAAGCCCAAUCUUUUUUUUUUGAAUCAGUUAAAAAAUAGAGAAAAUAAAAUAAAAUAAUUUAAAAAUAAAAAUAUAUAAAAUUUUUAGAAAUUAAAAAUUGCCAUAAAAUAUCUUUUGAUAGUUCAAUUAUGGAAGAAAGUUGGCUAUGCUUAAAUACAGAUGGCUCAGCGAGAUUGGAUGAAGGAUUUGCUGUAGCAAGAAGCUUAGUGCGGGAUCAAAAUGGUAGAUGGAUCGUGGGGUUUAGCAGAUACUUGGGGAACUGUAUAGUGACGAAGGCUAAACUUUGGAGCAUCCUGGAUGGGUUAAAGCUUAUCUUAGAUAGAAUAUCUGAAAGGAUCUUAAUUCAAACAGAUAGUCUCGAGGUUGCUAAUGCCAUUUAGGAAGGUGUCUUUAGUACCUCGAAAUCAACUUUACUCAGAAGAAUUCAUCAGAGCUUGACAAAGGUAAAAUAGUGGAAGAUCCAACAUAUCUCCCGAGAAGAGAACACAUUGGUAGGCAAUAUUGUUAAAAUGAUUUGUGAUAGAAAGCUAGGUUUAAGAUUAUUUGAAUACCAUCCUUUGAGGGUCUAGUUUUAUUUGUGUUUGUUUCUUGUAUUUUUCACAAAAAAAGAGAGAGAAUAAUUUGUAAGAAAAUACAAAAUUUUCAUGCUCAAUUUUACUAUAUCUUAAUUUUCUUUAUUCAAUAAUAUGUAUAUAUAUAGGGUCAGUGUUUGGUACAUUGGUAAUAUAUAUAUUUUUAUUUCAUAAGCAAUUUUAAAAAAUUGUGAUGUGUCUUUUUUUAAUUAAUUAUUUUUUAAUAUUUUAUUAUACUCUUAUAGAAUACUUGAUUGGGCUGACAUUUUCUUGGAAAAUUGAGAUGCUUGUCAACUCAUCCUUGAUCUCCAAUCUACCAACAAUCCAAACAUGUUUGAAUUGCCAAAUUUUGGCAACAAAAAUGUUUGAGCUAAGAUUUCCUUAGAAAAUUGAAAUGCUUGCCAGCCCGUCCUUGAUAUCCAAUCUACCUAUAGUGAAACUCUCGAAGAUUUAUAGAGAUUGGAUCAAAGCAAUUACCAUCCCUUAAACUAAGGAGAAGAUCAAACCAAGCCUAUUGUAAAAAAGAUAUCCUCAGUAGAUGUAUUAGGAUAACCAAGUUACAUAAACAUCUCUUGUACUGUUUACAUUUUUACAUUUUAUAUUUCUUAUGCUUGAAAUACUUAGAAUUAGUCAUAAUACUGCUUUUGGUAUAACUUGAUUUUUGCACUCAAACAUGAAUUUGGACCCAUAUAUAUAAUACAACUAAUAAAAUACAACUAAUUGCCAUGUUACAUGAUGAAUAUAUUAUCUACUCAAAUAUUAUUAGUUUUUUCCCUAACUUUUUAUUUUUUAUUUUUUGAAUUUUAUUUUGUAGAAAAAAAGAAAUUAAAAAAAAAGCAUUCAAGGUUAUUAAAAAGUACUGUUGAUAUUUAUAUAUCUAUAUUAUUUUGUGAUUUUUAUUUUUCUUUUUUGAAAAUUUCUUUUUAAUUUGCAUUUUUUUCUCUUUUAUGUAUUUUUUAAAAAAAUUAAAAAUUUAAUUUAUGUGAAUUUUAUAUAAUUUUUUGAAUAUUUUUUUUGAAAUUUUCCUGAGUUUUUCUAUUUUCUUUGAUUUUUUCCCAUUUUUUGUUUUUUUUUAAAUUUUAUUCCAAAACAUAAAAACUGAGUAACAUGACACGAUGAGAGCACCACACAUCAUCUUUUUUAUAACACUAUUAACGACUGGGGUAAAAUGCAUCACAAUUUGAAUUUUUAGGUACCAUACUGAUAUGAAAAAUUAUUUAGGUAUAAAAGUGAUAAUUGGGUGCAACUUUGGGGCAUAUAAGUAAUGUAUUAAUUGAGAAUAUGUAACAACCCAAUUUUCAGUGAUAUCAGAAAAAAGUGGUUUGAGACCACUAAAAUCUGACAAGUGAGCUUAUAAAUUAUUAUUUAGUAUUUAUGAGCCAAUCGUGAAUUUAGAAGGCUUAUGAAUUAGUGAUUUGUGCUUUAGAAAUAUUUAUCAAAUUAAUUAGUUUUGAAACUGAGGUAUCGAGAUAUCGAUUUCAUAAACUGAGCCGUAAAUAUUUUUAUAAAUAUUUACGGAGUGUCAUUGAGUUAGUAUUAAAGUUUCGUUAGGAAAUUUGAACGUUUUGAUAGUUAAUUAAUUAAAAAGAUAAAAAAAUACAUUCCCGAGACUCAGUUCUCGUAAAUCGGAUUCAUAAAUAUUUAUUAAAAAUAUUUACGAAUCUAGUUGUGUAGUUAAUUAGGUUUCAAUUAAGUGAAUUUGCUUGAAUUAAAAAGUAAUUAGGUAUAAGGACUAGAUUGGAUAUAGAGUAAAAGUUGAAUUAUAGAAUAGAGAAAAUUCAAGGGACUAAAUAAGCAAUUAAAUCAUAAAUUAACAUAUUUGUGGUCAAAAUAAUUUCCAUGUGUAUAAAUAAUAUACAUAUAUUAGUAAUUAUUAUAUAUUUUAAAUAUUAUUUUAUUAUUAUAUUAUAUGAAUUAAAUAAAGUAAAUAAAUUAAAUUAAAUUAUAACAAUUGUGGGGUAAUAAUAAUGUAAAUGUGUAUAAUUUUAUAUACAUACAUUUGUAAUACACAUAUAUUACUUAUUAUUUAAGAAAAUAUUAAAUUAUGAAAUUAUUAUUAUAAUUAAAAUAAAGAAACAAAAGAAUGAAAAAGGAAACAGAAUAGCAAAACGAAAACAGGGGAAAGAAAGGAGGAAAAGAAAGAAAGAAAAGAAAAAAAAGGGAAAUUAUAGUUUUAAAGGUUCCAAGUUUAAGUGGUAAGUCAAUUUAAUCCAUUUUCUUGUAAUUUUUGAUGUUUUUGGACUCUUAGAACAAAAUACUACUUGACAUAAGUGGAAAUUUUGAAAGUUUAGUUGAUUUUUAGAUGUGGUUUAUGUUGAAUUAAUUGAAGAAUUUGGGUUAAAAUUGAUAGAAUUUUUAGUUAGAAUUGAGAAAAGGAUUGAAUUGUAAGUUAAAUCAUAAGUUUUAUGUAGUAAGGACUAAAUUGAA